rnacentral:rRNA from 1 species
ACGAGCGCAACCCUUGAUCUUAGUUGCCAGCAUUCAGUUGGGCACUCUAAGGAGACUGCCGGUGACAAACCGGAGGAAGGUGGGGAUGACGUCAAGUCAUCAUGGCCCUUACGGCCUGGGCUACACACGUGCUACAAUGGUCGGUACAAAGGGUUGCCAAGCCGCGAGGUGGAGCUAAUCCCAUAAACCGAUCGUAGUCCGGAUCGCAGUCUGCAACUCGACUGCGUGAAGUCGGAAUCGCUAGUAAUCGUGAAUCAGAAUGUCACGGUGAAUACGUUCCCGGGCCUUGUACACACCGCCCGUCGACGCGGCCG